GAUGAACGCUGGCGGCGUGCCUAAUACAUGCAAGUAGAACGCUGAAGGAGGAGCUUGCUCUUCUGGAUGAGUUGCGUACGGGUGGGUAACGCGUAGGUAACCUGCCUGGUAGCGGGGUAUAACUAUUGGAAACGAUAGCUAAUACCGCAUGACAACAGUUAUUGCAUGAUAACUGUUUAAAAGGGGCAACUGCUCCACUACCAGAGGGACCUGCGUUGUAUUAUCUAGUUGGUGAGGUAACGGCUCACCAAGGCGACGAUACAUAGCCGACCUGCGAGGGGGAUCGGCCACACUGGGACUGAGACACGGCCCAGACUCCUACGGGCGGCAGCAGUAGGGGAUCUUCGUUAAUGGACGGAAGUAUGCCCGAGCAACGCCGCGUGAGUGAAGAAGGUAUUCGGAUGGUAAAGCUAUGUUGUAAGAGAAGAACGAGUGUGAGAGUGGAAAGUUCACACUGUGACGGUAUCUUACCAGAAAGGGACGGCUAACUACGUG
rnacentral:rRNA from 1 species